CAACCGGGCCGAUUUGGUUGCUUAGGAGACCUGGCUGGAGUCACUCAGCACGCCCUGGGAUUCGAACAAGCGAACUAGCGAACUCCAGGGGUGCAGCGAAUGCUUCUUCGUUUACAAGGCUGUGAUCUGAGGAUUCAAUACACACCGGGUAACUGUAUGUAGAUUGCAGACACAUUGUCACAGGCAGCAGUGAGAAAACAAAAUGCUAAUGAGGACAGCGAAGACCUGUUUCAGGAGAAAGUAGUGUAUUUGCUAUAAGCUACUGAUUUUCAAAGUCCAGAAAUGUUGAAACAACUAAAAGAAAUUAGUCAAACAGAUGACGUCCUGCAAACCAUAAAAGAAGCUCAUAAAAGUGACUGGGGUAAGCAAUGCAGCAGGCUUAAGGAGAAAUUGCACAAAUUCUGGUCAGUGUAACACAACAUCAGUAUGCAGAAUUAUGUGCUAAUGAUGGGAGAUAGAAUCAUCAUUCCAGAGACAUUAAAGUCUACUGUGUUACAGAGGUUACAUAUUGGACAUCAAGGUAUACAACGAACUAAAGCACAAGCAAGGCAAGUUGUGUUUUGGCCUGGCAUGUCAAAAGAUAUUGAGAGCAUGGAGGGCAAAUGUGGCAUAUGUCUAAAGUUCCAACCUCAAAAUCAAAGAGAACCUCUUCAGUCACAUGACAUCCCAGAUGUUCCCUGGUUGAAGCUUGGAGCAGACAUCUUUGAAUUGCAAGUCCAGGAUAUCCACAAUGAAAUGGACUUGCUGAGCGAACAGUGCAAACUGUAAAAUGUGUUCUGAAAAAGGCCCUGUGUUCAGUGGCACCAGACUGGUCUGAUCCAGUGACCACUAAUUCAAUGACAAAGACACCCGUAUCUGAGGAAAAUCUUGAACAAGCAACUUUGCCGUGUGUCAAUGAGGAAUCAACAAUUUGCACAAGAAGUUGAAGAACUGUCAGACCUCCAGUAAGAUUUAAAGACUAUACAACAUA